GUGGGUGUAGCGUACCUACUAGCCUACGACGGGUACGGGUUGUGAGAGCAAGAGCCCGGAGAUGGAUUCUGAGACACGAAUCCAGGCCCUACGGGGUGCAGCAGGCGCGAAAACUUUGCAAUGCCGGCAACGGCGAUAAGGGGACCUCGAGUGCCAGGUUACAAAUCUGGCUGUCGUGAUGCCUAAAAAGCAUUGCAUAGCAAGGGCCGGGCAAGACCGGUGCCAGCCGCCGCGGUAACACCGGCGGCUCGAGUGGUAACCGUUAUUAUUGGGUCUAAAGGGUCUGUAGCCGGCCAGAUAAGUCUCUUGAGAAAUCCAGCAGCUCAACUGUUGGGCUUUCAGGAGAUACUGUCUGGCUCGAGGCCGGGAGAGGUGAGAGGUACUUCAGGGGUAGGGGUGAAAUCUUGUAAUCCUUGAAGGACCACCAGUGGCGAAGGCGUCUCACCAGAACGGACCUGACGGCAAGGGACGAAAGCUAGGGGCACGAACCGGAUUAGAUACCCGGGUAGUCCUAGCCGUAAACGAUACUCGCUAGGUGUCGGCCACGGUGCGACCGUUGUCGGUGCCGUAGGGAAGCCGUGAAGCGAGCCACCUGGGAAGUACGGCCGCAAGGCUGAAACUUAAAGGAAUUGGCGGGGGAGCACCACAACGGGUGGAGCUUGCGGUUUAAUUGGAUUCAACGCCGGAAAUCUUACCGGGACCGACAGCAACAUGAAGGCCAGGCUGAAGACUUUGCCGGAUUAGCUGAGAGGUGGUGCAUGGCCGUCGUCAGUUCGUACUGUGAAGCAUCCUGUUAAGUCAGGCAACGAGCGAGACCCACGCCCACAGUUGCCAGCGUACUCUCCGGAGUGACGGGUACACUGUGGGGACCGCCGCUGCUAAAGCGGAGGAAGGAAUGGGCAACGGUAGGUCAGUAUGCCCCGAAUGUCCCGGGCUACACGCGAGCUACAAUGGUUGGUACAAUGGGUAUCUACCCCGAAAGGGGAUGGAAAUCUCCUAAAGCCAAUCUUAGUUCGGAUUGAGGGCUGCAACUCGCCCUCAUGAAGCUGGAAUCCGUAGUAAUCGCGUUUCAACAGAACGCGGUGAAUACGCCCCUGCUCCUUGCACACACCGCCCGUCAAACCACCCGAGUAGGGUCUGAAUGAGAGCGCUUCCUCCGGAGGCGUUCGAAUUUGGGCUUUGCAAGGGGGGUUAAGUCGUAACAAGGUA
rnacentral:rRNA from 1 species